rnacentral:rRNA from 1 species
AUUGAACGCUGGCGGCAGGCCUAACACAUGCAAGUCGAGCGGCAGCACAGAGAAAACUUGUUUCUCGGGUGGCGAGCGGCGGACGGGUGAGUAAUGCCUGGGAAAUUGCCUGAUGUGGGGGAUAACCAUUGGAAACGAUGGCUAAUACCGCAUGAUAGCUUCGGCUCAAAGAGGGGGACCUUCGGGCCUCUCGCGUCAGGAUAUGCCCAGGUGGGAUUAGCUAGUUGGUGAGGUAAGGGCUCACCAAGGCGACGAUCCCUAGCUGGUCUGAGAGGAUGAUCAGCCACACUGGAACUGAGACACGGUCCAGACUCCUACGGGAGGCAGCAGUGGGGAAUAUUGCACAAUGGGCGCAAGCCUGAUGCAGCCAUGCCGCGUGUGUGAAGAAGGCCUUCGGGUUGUAAAGCACUUUCAGUCGUGAGGAAGGUGGUAGUGUUAAUAGCACUGUCAUUUGACGUUAGCGACAGAAGAAGCACCGGCUAACUCCGUGCCAGCAGCCGCGGUAAUACGGAGGGUGCGAGCGUUAAUCGGAAUUACUGGGCGUAAAGCGCAUGCAGGUGGUUUGUUAAGUCAGAUGUGAAAGCCCGGGGCUCAACCUCGGAACUGCAUUUGAAACUGGCAGACUAGAGUACUGUAGAGGGGGGUAGAAUUUCAGGUGUAGCGGUGAAAUGCGUAGAGAUCUGAAGGAAUACCGGUGGCGAAGGCGGCCCCCUGGACAGAUACUGACACUCAGAUGCGAAAGCGUGGGGAGCAAACAGG